AUUGAACGCUGGCGGCAUGCCUUACACAUGCAAGUCGAACGGUAACAGGUCUUCGGAUGCUGACGAGUGGCGAACGGGUGAGUAAUACAUCGGAACGUGCCUAGUAGUGGGGGAUAACUACUCGAAAAAGUAGCUAAUACCGCAUGAGAUCUACGGAUGAAAGCAGGGGACCUUCGGGCCUUGUGCUACUAGAGCGGCUGAUGGCAGAUUAGGUAGUUGGUGGGGUAAAGGCUUACCAGGCCUGCGAUCUGUAGCUGGUCUGAGAGGACGACCAGCCACACUGGGACUGAGACACGGCCCAGACUCCUACGGGAGGCAGCAGUGGGGAAUUUUGGACAAUGGGCGAAAGCCUGAUCCAGCAAUGCCGCGUGCAGGAUGAAGGCCCUCGGGUUGUAAACUGCUUUUGUACGGAACGAAAAGCCUGGGGCUAAUAUCCCCGGGUCAUGACGGUACCGUAAGAAUAAGCACCGGCUAACUACGUGCCAGCCGCCGCAGUAAUAC
rnacentral:rRNA from 1 species